AAAGCGCAUGCAGGUGGUUUGUUAAGUCAGAUGUGAAAAGCCCCGGGGCUCAACCUCGGAAUUGCAUUUGAAAACUGGCAAACUAGAGUACUGUAGAGGGGGGUAGAAUUUUCAGGUGUAGCGGUGAAAUGCGUAGAGAUCUGAAGGAAUACCCGGUGGCGAAGGCGGCCCCCCUGGACAGAUACUGACACUCAGAUGCGAAAGUGUGGGGAGCAAACAGGAUUAGAUACCCUGGUAG
rnacentral:rRNA from 1 species